rnacentral:lncRNA from 1 species
AAAAACGAAUCCUUGGGUUCAGGAAGAAAGAAUCAUAGUAAUCAAUGCAGAAAAAAGAAAAAAUGGGAUAGCUGAGGCAAAAAGGAUACAACUUUAUCCUUUGGGUUGAUUGAAAAGAUACAAAAGGUACGAUUAAAACUCAAAAGUCACUUUCUACGAUGAUGUGAAAAAAUAGUAAAGAUUCCAAGGCAGACCCAGAAAAGAACCAGACGAUCCGAGAUUCUGGCUGGAUAAACUGAGAAUUUUACAUGGUAUUUCACUGUUGUUGAAUCAACGAAGAAGGAAGGAUUGAGAAAGAGUUACCUGGAAGGUGACGGAGGCUAGAGGGGCGGCCAUGCCUCUGUAAAGAGCAGAAGGACCAUCGGCGGCGACAAUCCGGCGAAGAAUGCCGAAGGCAGAGGAAGAGGAUGGGGAUCCAGAAUGGGGGAUGGUCUGUUGCUGACGAAUACGCAAGGUGUCAAGUGGGUAACCGGCGAUUAUACCGGCGGUACCACCGCACCCGCCGGCGACGAACUCUCUCCCCCAACUGCUGGCGAGGAACUCAGGCCAGAAAUCCAUAAUCUCAUUCUCCAAAGGGUAAGACCUUUUCGUUUUUGUUGUUUUUCUCUCCUCUCGUUCUGAUUUGAUCAGGCUCUCAGGCUGGUGUUUCUUAUACGUAACUCAAUUGAAUGGCACUUUUAUCAUCAUGAUUGUUUGUGUCCCUCUUUUAUAGUUUGAAUGUGAGCUGGGGGGGAGGAGAAUAAAGAAACCCUAAAGAAAAGGGGGGAGAAGGGAGGAGAAGGAGGGCUCUGAGUCGAAAUUCCAAACGGAGGAAUUACGGAGGAAGAAAACAAAUGAUCACCGGUGGCUAUUGUCAGUGGGGGGAAAACAAUACCAGUGGUGGGAAGAAGAAACGGACAACGUUCUCUCGUAAAAUAUUCAUAAUGGGGCCUGGAUUAUUCUUAUCUACACUAAUUUAUCUCCGAUUUUUUGUGUAAAAUUUUUUAUAUCCCAAAUUGGUUGUAAAUGAUUUAUAUGUGAUGCUGCAGAUUGCGGAUCGGUAUUGCAGAUUGGUAUUGCGAUGAAGAUCUCCUCCCCCUCUCUUAUAGAGGUAUAUGUUCGAUCGUUUUGCUCUUGAAUUUCUAGACGCUUAGAGACGCAUGUAUCUCGUGUAGUUGGCACCACUGCCACGAAUGUUUGGAAUGGUACACUUGCUUGCAGGUAGUGCGGAAGGUUAACGAAACUGUUCAUAUUGUGGCAAGACUCUUACAUAUCAUCAUCUUGAGUCAUAUCGAGAUUGAUCUAAUGACUUGAAUAGAUGGUUAGAUUCAUUCAUUUUUACUUGUUAUCUCAAUUUUUUCUACCGAUCAGGAACUAUUAUGUAGAUAAAAUAUAGUAGAAUGAUCUAGUAUAUGAUAUAUCAUCCACAAUUUAAGCCAUCCACCGUGUUUCAAACGGGUACCUAAGAAACUUUAACAAUUCUACUUAUAUUGAUUUUAGACUUACCUUAAAUGUGUAUUUAAUAUGUAUACAAGUUAAGUGUCCGAUUUUCUGGAGAAAUUUGUUUCUAUCACUUCGACUCACCGUCUGCUAGACUCUUUUAUCACCUUUCGAUCGGCAUUUUUUCACUUAAGACCCAUCUCACUACCAACCGAACGGAACCUUGUGAUAUAUUUGAAAUUUUAAAAAAGUUGAAGAUGGAUUUGAGUAUAUUGUCAACUAAUUGAGGCCUGAUUUGUGAAUUAUCCUAAAACACUUUUGAACAGGUCCACUCUUUGUUGGACACGUGGAAAGAAGACUUGAUGACGACAACAAUUAAAGGUGGUCUUCUUGGAGUCUUUCCUUGGUGUUCUCCGAUGGCGUAGGAGUGGUUAGUGGUAUCACCCUACUAGUGUAUUGUCAACAAACUCCUUGGACCAAAUAACAUAGUGCUCACUCAAGUUUGGAUAUUGUACCGAUGUAAUCUAUAAAGUUAAAAGAGAUGAUUUAGUUUAUCCGGUAUUCUACAACUUGUUCUGUUACGUACACUUUCCCGUUAAAUAUGUCAUAUUAAUGUGUAAUGUCUUUGAAGCUGAAUUGUGUGCG